rnacentral:rRNA from 1 species
AGAUGCGAUCAUACCAGCACUAAAGCACCGGAUCCCAUCAGAACUCCAAAGUUAAGCGUGCUUGGGCGAGAGUAGUACUAGGAUGGGUGACCUCCUGGGAAGUCCUUGUGUUGCAUUCC